GCGCGCCGCCGCUCACAUGUCCCUUGUUUACCGCGGUCGCUGCCGGUGGUGGCGGCGCCGCGGCGGGUGAGGGACCGACAGACUGACCCCGACCCACAGACCGACCACCCCGCCGGGGGCAGCGACAGAUCGGCGUGGGGGAAAAAGGGAAUGGCGGCGGAGAAAGGGUGUACCCCGCAGGGGCGCUGUGAGGGCUUGUCCCCUCUCGGGCGGUGUGAGGUGCGCUUUUCCGCCCUGCGGAGCGGCGAGAAGGGCUGGUGUCCCCUCAGGGGUGGCAUGAGGCGGGAAUGCUCAGCAUGGCCCUGCCAGCAAAGAGGUGUGGAAGGCCCCCAGUGUUAUCUUUUCUGGAAAAGAGAAAGAAGAGUCUUGAUAGAAGAAGGGGGAAAACAAGGAUUUAUGUAGGAAAUCACACUGACUGGUGGCUGACACUUAAGGAAAAGUUGGAUUUCAGAAACCAUGCAGAAGUCGCAGGGUUUUUACUAGGUUUGACACCUACAACCUGUUGUCAAAAGGUCUGCUCUGUCCCCUCUCUGAGGGUGUGAGAAGGAUCACUAGGAAGGAAGAAAGAGCGUUGUCAGCCAGCGCUCCUUUAAUAGCAGCAGAUGGAACGUUAGUACUGUCCUCUCCUUACUUGGGAAGGGUGGAUAAAAUAUUUUUCUUGGUACCACUUGAAUGACUGUAGCUGACAUUUAAAAAUAAUGUCACAUAUCCCAUGUAUUGGAAGGCAUUGGUGCAGGUGAUUGAUGCCCUGGAAAAUGAAGGGUAAAAAUGCUGGACUGUAGAUUGCCUUGGUGCCUUUGGAAAAAUGAGUAAUUGAGAUCAGCUACUCUGGUGCUUAUCUAAAAUCUUCUGUGAUUGAAUCGUUUUAUGUCUUGUUUUGCUUUUGAUAAUACAAAAGCUGAUACAUGAGCUGAUAAGUGAUGAAUCUUAAUUAUUUCUUUCUGUAGCAGAGAUGAAAUAAGUGGAGUACUUUCAGUAACUGAAGUUCUACAGAACGGUGUUGGCGGUUCUCAAUGUUUUGUAGUUACCAAGUGUGAGUAAUCCUGGAAAGGUUGUGAACCAAGAAGCUGAGGUUGGUACAGCAUUCAGGGUAUUCAGUGUAUGGUUGUCAGAAGCACAGAAACUUCCAGUGUUCUGAUUUUAACUUUUUUUUCUUUAACCACACACUUGCAUAAGCUUUCAGAUCUUGAUCUUACAGUAUUCAAGCCAGCUGGGCUUUCCCACCAGCUUACACUAGAACAGCCUCUCUGUGGGGAGAAAUUCCCCUAAUUAGAUCAUUAUACUCUGCAAUCAGUUUUUUAAAUGAGCUACUUCACUGGCUGUAAGGAACUGCUGUUGCUCUUCAAUAUUAUCUUGAUGCUUUUGAAGUGUCUGAAUUCAAUGUUGCUUUAUCAACAAUAAAUUUUACCCUAAAUGUUGUACAGAUAGAUUAAAAAAAAAAAAGUUGAGAAGUUGAGAAAGUCUCAAAAAACUCCUUUCUCAAAAUGAAAAUGCCACUUCUUCUGUAUUUGUGUUCUCUCUUUGCUCUGUACCUUUCAGAUUUUUCUUUGACCAAACAAUGACUCAUGUAAAUUACUCAGUUUGGCUCAUGGAAAAUGUGUGACUGGUGACACUUAUGCUCAGUGAAGUGUCUUCCAGUGCUCUCAGAUUUUCAGUUGUUGGUGUCAUUACAGUGAGAAGAGGACUCAGCCUUCCGUUACAUUUUCCUCCAAAGGCUUCAAGAUCAGAAGAAUCCACAACUGCAUAUUCUCAGCCAGUUCGACCUCAUUCUUGUGCCUUUUUAAAUGCACUCUGCAAAUGUCUCUAUUAUUUAACGACUUACUGUUAUGCAAGUAGAAUAAUACUGCCAGUACCUGAUUUGUUGAAUUGCACUCACUAUGUAAAUUACUGGUGGAAUGAUUAUUCUUGUUCAUAGUACUGAAAUUCAUCCCUUACUAAGGCUUCCCCCAAACCUCCCAUGACACUGGCACUUCAUGCUGAAGAAAGAAAAAUCAAGAGAAAAUAGACUUCUAAAUAUUUCCUUUUGUAAUGUUAUAGUGUGACAGAUGAUAUAUUUGGGUUGCUGUAUGAGCAUACACUUUGGAAUAUCUGACUUCUGUAGAGCAGAGUAUUAUCAUUGCUGUUUUCCAGUAAAGUUAGCAGAAUGGUGAAUGGAAAAUUAUUCUGAAACAAGAUUUUUUCUUCUGAUGGAUAUGAUGAGCAGUGUCUCUUUGGUCAAAAUGGCCAAGUAAGGCUUUCUGCUCCUGUGGGACUAUAAAAAUUGUGGAAUUUGAUUAUGUUCAGAUGUCAGAACUAAACCCGUAAGAAUCACUUACCCUCUUAUUCCAUUGAUACAUUAAAAAUGUACUUUAGGAGAAUUACUUUAAGCAGAAUCAUAACUUGUGCUGUUGGCAAUACUGAAUACUUAGGGCAUAAACCUAUAAUGUUAAACGUGAGAAUUUUCUGUAGAGAUUUAUAGUGGAAGUAGCUAUAAAGCCACCAAAUUUUAAUUUUGUUUUCUGAUAGUAAAGUGGACUUACUGUGCCAAUUGAUUUCCUUAGAACUGUGGCUCUGUCAAAUCUCUUGGAAUGUGAGUAUUUGCAUGCAUAGACUGGAAAACUUCAUCCAAAUAAGUGCUGUUCUGUUCUGUGUUGAACUUAAGCUUCAAACCAUUAGUUAAAGAAUUGAAGUUACAAUGCACUGGUGUUCAUAGUACUAACUCAAUCUUCCAUUCCUUAGCCUUUACAAGAAGCCAUUUUCUAAAAUCACAAUAACUACAGUUGUGUUCUUAGCUCACAUAAUGUGGUAUCACCUGAAAACUUUGUGUCUAGCUGGGGAAAGGUAGUCUGGCCUAUAUUUUGAUUUACUUAUGUAGUAAAAAACCCUACAAAACUGGAGGAAAAAUUGUUUCAAAUAGCUCUUAUAGAUUUCCUGGUGAAGUAAGGAGUUUUGCAGAUCACCACAGACCUGCUGGAGAGAGGAGUAGAACUGAGGGGAGGUACUGGAAUAGGGUACUUAAAACCAGUGUUACAGUGCCCUGUUUUCUUACUGUUUCAUAUUGCUGUUUAAUUCUUGGGCUCUUUUCUUACUCUGAAUGCUUGUGAACCUGUAAAGCUUGAUCAGUCAGUCAAGAGGAGUGCUGCAUCGAGGCACAUUAUUUCAGAAUGUAACAGGGAGGCAGGAACCUGGUUUUAUUCUGAAUUCUUCAGGCUUAGUAGAUCAUCAUGGGUUUUAUCUUGUAGUAAAAUUGAAAUAUGAAAUAUAACUUUUAUAAGCCGU